CAUCAUGAUGUUUUCCAGAUACAAACUCAUUUGAUCUUACUUAACUUUUUUCAGCAUCCCGUAAGGGGGGCACAGCAGUUUUCUCUGACAUCACCCAAGACAUCAUAGGUAUAUCAGAUUUUAAGAUUAUCAUAUGUCUUUCAGUUAUUGGGGCAGUUUCAAUUAAUGCCCCAAAAAUAGCAGCACAACAACACAAUUUACAAAUAUUUAAUAUCUUCUGAAAAGCAUUUCUAAGUUAAGAAUGAAAAAGUAUGUACAUGGGAGGCUGAGACAGGCAGAUCACCUGAGGUCAGGAGUUUGAGACUAGCCUGGCCAACAUGGUCAAUCUCCAUCUCUACUAAAACUACAAUAAUUAGCCAGGCGUGGUGACCAGGUGGGUAAAGCUAGUAAAGUUAUGGCCAGCAAGUACAGCCAGGUUGAUAACUCCAACUGUGUAAGCCUUGUUGCGGGAAGUCAGUAAGGACAGCUGUGUAAACUAAGCAUGAAAUUCACAAUGGGGAAGACUAGGUGGAAAAACUAGGUAGGUAAUCCAGGUUGUUGAGACCACAUGGUUAAGGCCCACAGGUUUAGGCCAGGUGUGGAAAACCAAAGGGUUCAGGCAGGAGAAUCACUUAAGCCUGGGAGUUUGAGACCAGUCUGGACAACACAGUGAGAACCCCAUCUCUGAAAAAAACUUUUGUAAUUAGCUGGGUGUGGUGGUGUGUGCCUGUAGUUUCAGCUCCUCCAGCUUUAGAGUCUGAGGUGGGAAGAUCACUUGAACCCCGAAGGUCAAGGCCAAUAAACAAGAAAGUCCUUAGUCUUUGAAAAGAAAAUGAUUCCAAAAUACAAAAAAAAAAAAAAAAAGUUAAAAAGUUAAACAUCACGUUUGUUUGGCUUAAAAUAAUUAUACAU
rnacentral:lncRNA from 1 species